rnacentral:rRNA from 1 species
CAGCAGCCGCGGUAAUACGAAGGGUGCAAGCGUUAAUCGGAAUUACUGGGCGUAAAGCGUGCGCAGGCGGUUAUGUAAGACAGUUGUGAAAUCCCCGGGCUCAACCUGGGAACUGCAUCUGUGACUGCAUAGCUAGAGUACGGUAGAGGGGGAUGGAAUUCCGCGUGUAGCAGUGAAAUGCGUAGAUAUGCGGAGGAACACCGAUGGCGAAGGCAAUCCCCUGGACCUGUACUGACGCUCAUGCACGAAAGCGUGGGGAGCAAACAGGAUUAGAUACCCCUGUAGUCCCUGUCUCUUAUAC